rnacentral:rRNA from 1 species
AUGUACCCAAUUGCUUGGGCAAUAGUGGAGCAAGAAACUACAAAAAAUUGGGAAUGGUUUAUUGGCCUUCUGAUCAAAGACUUGGACAUAAAUGAUCAAGGUGAAGGCUGGGUGUUCAUUUCAGAUCAACAAAAGGGCUUGAUCAGUAGCAUGCAGGAUUUUCUGCCAAAAGCACAACACAGGAUGUGUGCUAGACACAUCUAUGCUAACUGGAGGAAGAAGUAUAGGGAGCAUGCUUUACAGAAGAAGUUCUGGGCUAUUGCAAAGGCUGCAAAUAGAGAAGAUUUCAUGUACAGAAAAGCAAAGUUAGCUCAAGACACACCUGAAGGAGCAAGGGACAUAAUGAGAACAGAGCCUAAGCACUGGGCCAGAGCUUUUUUCCCUGUGGGUUCACUAUGUGACUCAGUGGACAAUAACUUAUGUGAGUCCUUCAACAAUUCAAUCAUUGAGGCCAGAUUCUAUCCUUGCAUAUCCAUGCUGGAAAAGGUUAGACAAAAAAUGACAAAGAGAGUUCAAGAAAACAGAGAGAAAUCUGAUAAGUGGACUAAUAAUCCAAUUUGCCCAAACAUUUUUAAAAAGCUUAAGGUGAACAUCAAAUUAACUCAGUUCUGUGACGUACUCUGGAAUGGGAAAGAAGGGUUUGAGGAUAAACAUGUUAGUGGAAGAGGAAGGACCUACACUGUCAACUUAGAUAAGAGGACAUGCUCCCGUGGGUACCUGCAGCUGGUAGGUCUACCUUGCUGCCAUGCUAUCAGUGCUAUUUAUAAGAGUGGCAGAAGAAUUGAAGACUUCAUUGACAAGUGCUAUUCAGUUGAGCAAUUCAAGAAAAUAUAUGAGCAUUGCUUGGAGCCAGUUGAAGGUGAGGAAAGGUGGCCCGUUUCUCAGAAUCCCAGACCACAAGCUCCUGGAUAUGUGAGCAUGCCAGGUAGACCCAGGAAAAAUGACAGGAGGAGGGAAGAGGGAGAAGCACCAAAAGGAAAGAAGAUGUCAAGAAAUGGGAUUAAAAUUACUUGUAGUAUGUGUGGGAAUAAAGGCCACAAUAAGUCAGGUUGCCACAAAAAUCCAGAAAAAGGCAAGAAAAAAUGCCUUUCUGAGAAAAACAGGGAGGAAAAUGAAGUCUUC